GGCUUGUCCCCUUCCCCCCCCAGCGACUGUAAGGAUGCGCGAAAUGCCGGCCUGACAGACUGCGGGCGGAGACGAGAGGCGACUGUCCCUUUGGAUCAGCCUUCAGCUGUUGUGCAGGUGCCAGCUGAUGGAAGAAAAUGUUGUUGGGCUGAAGUCCUACCAUGCUCCUCUGAUAAUGUUACGGAGGUGGUCCUGAAGCACUGGGAGAUGAUGCAUUUUACCCAGUUGUCUUUCUCUACUGCCUUUUCCAGCCCUGGCUCUGCAAUAGUUCCAUCCAAAGCUCACCAGUGCAUUUCAAUCACGGUGCUGAAGAAAUCAGAGUGAUGCCUUCAAAGCUGUUAUUUUUAUAGUCAAAUGUUAUCUUCAUGUUA
rnacentral:lncRNA from 1 species